GGAAACGUGGCUGAGUGGUUGAAGGCACCGCUCUCGAAAAGCGGCAUCGGGGCAACCCGAUCGAGGGUUCAAAUCCCUCCGUUUCCG
rnacentral:tRNA from 1 species